AUCGAAAGGUAGAAGAAAAAGAAAAUCAUAAUAAAAAUAAUAACAACAGUGAUGGAGUUCCUCUCCUCGCCGUCAAGCCACCUCCUUUCGAACCGGCACCUCACCAAGACUCGCUUCUCCAGAAAACGGAAGAAGAGCUCGAAGAGUUGGAUGACGAUCCCAAUCUUGAAGAUGACCGCUUUCUUGAAGAAUACAGCGUUGUUUUGGAUGGUUGAUUUUGCUGGUCGAGAAUUUUGUUAGUCUUCAGUAAUGUAGUGAAAAUUGGCUUAUGUUGAUGGGAAAAAGGGAUUAUCUGAGAUGAGAGAAGCAGCUAAGCUUUCGAAAUUCAGUGAUGCUAAUUUCAGGAUCAGAUUUUGUAGGAGAGGUUUCUCAAGCCCCUUCUGAUGUUUGGGUUAUUGUGAUCCUCUACAAGGAAGGAUAUAGAAUCUUUUAAAAUCAGACUUUUUCAAUGUUGCCCAAACCAAUGUUAAUCCAACUCUUUCAUGUAUAUAUUUACACACACAUAUUCCUUUUCCUGAUUUCCCAAAUAGAUUUCCAGAGUGCAGGCUGCUGAUGCAAUGCUUGGAAGAAUUGGCAAGAAAAUACCCAGCAACAAAAUUUGUUAAAAUAAUAUCGACAGAUUGUAGCCUUCCUACCCUAUUGGUUUACAACAAUGUUGCCAUCAAAGCAAAUUACGUGGGUUUGCAUAGUUUUGGCCGGAGAUGCACACCUGAGGGUCCAUAUAUAUAAGUUCACUUCACAGCUUUCCUUCAAUGCUUUUUUAAUUUCAAAGAGCUUUGCUGCCUCUAUUCACAUUAUCUCAAUUUAUUCAUUUGUCAUGAGGAACAUUUGCAUCAUUCUAUUUUUAUAAUUUUCUCAUGAGCAUUCUCUAGGUAGGUGCGGAAUCUCAGUCAUGUCAUUUAGAACCUGUCUUUCAUUUUACCUUUUCUGACCUGUUAACAUUUGUUGAUUUCCAAUUGUCAACCCACCUUACAAAUUGGAUAUUUAUUUUUGGCAUGGGAAAAUUUUCAAUCAUAUUGGUAGAAAUAAGUUUUUGGGAUCCUAAUUGGCCAAAUUUGGAACGUUAAUGUCUUUUAGAUGGCAUACUGAAAUUCAAAAAAGUAGUUAUGUGACACAUAUUGAGUUCAAAAUUUUAUGAAGAAUGCUUUAACUUCUUUCACCGAUUUGUUUGAAAUUUGUCCUGAUUUACUAUUUGCGCGGUCAACAUGCUUUACUGAUUGUAAAUGUUGAAAUCAUAUUUAGGCUCAUUAUUGUAGAUUAACUUUGCUGCUUCAUGUGUUUCGGAUAGUAAUUUUCCACUCAAUUAUUUUUUCCUGAACUAUGUACUUGAAAAAGGGGAAAAUGUUGGUGUUCUGAUCCUUGCCCUUAAUCCAAGCUCAUAUAUUGCCUGUUGAAGUUUGAUGUAUGCCAUAGGUGUCUUAACCUGGGUAAUAAUUUAUAUGAUAUAUCAUCGAGCAGAUCCUGCCAUGGCUUAGUACUUAAAACUCACCAUCUUUGCAGCUCCCUUAUUUUGUUUUUCCCAACAGAAAUGAGCUUGAAUUUUUGCUUUCUAGCCUCUUUCAUUGUGAACUCCUACUCUGUUCAUGACCUUCGUUUUCUUAAAAAAAGUAAAUUAAACUUAAUUUGCUUUCCUUUUAGCUUCCCUAAAAUCCAGGCGUUGCAUUAGUUCUUUGUCAAUCAGAUCCUGUGUUAAAUGAUGGUCAGAAUGGAAGUGAUCCAUCAAGAAAAAUUGUGAUUGAUGGAGUUUGGAGGAGUUCUAUAGAGAAAGUUGUGGCAGAGCAUGAAGAAGAUGAGGAUGGAUCAUCAGGUGAUUAGAAUUUCAGUAAUUACUUUUGGAUUAGCCGGGAGAAGAGAAAUACUGUGUUUGCGGAUCACAAAGCACUUUAUUUUGCUUAGGGGUUUUUUUCUGCAGGAUAAAACUGUAGGUUACUUGUCAACAGCUAAACUAAAAUUUGCUAUUCUGGUGUAUCAUUGUGUGUUUAUAAAAUGGUUUACCUCUCA